ensembl:lncRNA
GUGCGUCUGUGUGUCUGAGCGUGGGUGUGUGCGUGUGUGUGUGCGUCUGUGUGUCUGAGCCUGGGUGUGUGUGUGUGUGUGUGCGUCUGUGUGUCUGAGCGUGGGUGUGUGUGUGUGUGUGUGCGUCUGUGUGUCUGAGCCUGGGUGUGUGUGUGUGUGUGUGUGUGUGUGUGUGUGUGCGUCUGUGUGUCUGAGCCUGGGUGUGUGUGUGUGUGUGCGUCUGUGUGUCUGAGCCUGGGUGUGUGUGUGUGUGUGUGCGUCUGUGUGUCUGAGCCUGGGUGUGUGUGUGUGUGUGUGUGUGUGUGUGCAUGUUUCAGUGGUAGGGAGUGUUUUGGGCAUUACUCUGGAUGGAGAAACACAGAAGAGAAAGGAAGGAGACAGAGGAUGAUGAAGGGGAACAUGAGGAGGAUGAAGGGUAAUAGGAGGAGGAUGAAGGGGAACAUGAGGAGGAUGAAGGGUAAUAGGAGGAGGAUGAAGGGGAACAUGAGGAGGAUGAAGGGUAAUAGGAGGAGGAUGAAGGGUAAUAGGAGGAGGAUGAAGGGUAAUAGGAGGAGGAUGAAGGGUAAUAGGAGGAGGAUGAAGGGGAACAUGAGGAGGAUGAAGGGUAAUAGGAGGAGGAUGAAGGGGAACAUGAGGAGGAUGAAGGGUAAUAGGAGGAGGAUGAAGGGGAACAUGAGGAGGAUGAAGGGUAAUAGGAGGAGGAUGAAGGGGAACAUGAGGAGGAUGAAGGGUAAUAGGAGGAGGAUGAAGGGGAACAUGAGGAGGAUGAAGGGUAAUAGGAGGAGGAUGAAGGGGAACAUGAGGAGGAGGAAGGUAACAUGAGGAGGAUGAAGGGUAAUAGGAGGAGGAUGAAGGGGAACAUGAGGAGGAGGAAGGUAACAUGAGGAGGAUGAAGGGUAAUAGGUGGAGGAUGAAGGGGAACAUGAGGAGGAGGAAGGUAACAUGAGGAGGAGGAAGGGGAAAAGGAGGAGGAUGAAGGGGAACAUGAGGAGGAGGAAGGUAACAUGAGGAGGAUGAAGGGGAAAAGGAGGAGGAUGAAGGGGAACAUGAGGAGACACCACUCAUAACCAUGAGUUUCUCAUAGGAACGUUUAGUCAUUUAAUACUGCUAUUUAUAGUGUGUUGGACAAUGUCCCCCAUAGCUCUCUCUUUAGAGCUCUCUCUUUGUCCCCUACGGCUCUGUCUUUGUCCCCCACAGCUCUCUCUUCAGAGCUCUCUCUUUGUCCCCCACAGCUCUCUCUCUUUGUCCCCCAC